GGAAGCGUAUCGAAGUGGUCAUAACGGCCUCGACUCGAAAUCGAGUGAUCCAGAGAUGGGUCCGUGGGUUCGAAUCCCACCGCUUCCGCCA
rnacentral:tRNA from 1 species